GCUGGGCAUGGUGGCUCAUGCCUGUAAUCCCAGCACUUUGGGAGGCUGAGGUGGGUGGAUCACCUGAGGUCAGGAGUUCGAGACCAGCCUGGCCAACAUGGUGAAACCCCAUCUCUA
rnacentral:SRP_RNA from 1 species